rnacentral:rRNA from 1 species
UACGUAGGGGGCAAGCGUUGUCCGGAAUCAUUGGGCGUAAAGAGCGUGUAGGCGGCCAGAUAAGUCCGCUGUGAAAUCUCGAGGCUCAACUUCGAGCUGUCGGUGGAAACUGUCUGGCUAGAGUCCGGAAGAGGAGAAUGGAAUUCCUGGUGUAGCGGUGAAAUGCGCAGAUAUCAGGAAGAACACCUAUGGCGAAGGCAGCUCUCUGGGACGGUACUGACGCUGAGACGCGAAAGCGUGGGGAGCAAACGGG